rnacentral:rRNA from 1 species
UAGUGGCGCACGGGUGCGUAACGCGUAUGCAACCUACCUUCAUCAGGGGGAUAACUACCCGAAAGGGUGGCUAACACCGCAUAAUACUACUGAAUGGCAUCAUUUGGUAUUUAAAUCUGAGGAGGAUGAAGAUGGGCAUGCGUCUGAUUAGCUAGUUGGUGUGGUAACGGCGCACCAAGGCGACGAUCAGUAGGGGAACUGAGAGGUUGGUCCCCCACACUGGCACUGAGAUACGGGCCAGACUCCUACGGGAGGCAGCAGUAGGGAAUAUUGGUCAAUGGUGGGAACACUGAACCAGCCAUUCCGCGUGCAGGAAGAAGGGUCUCUGACUUGUAAACUGCUUUAGCAAGGGAAGAAAAAGCUCAUGCGUGAGAAAUUGACGGUACCUUGAGAAUAAGCACCGGCUAACUACGUGCCAGCAGCCGCGGUAAUACGUAGGGUGCAAGCGUUGUCCGGAUUUAUUGGGUUUAAAGGGUGCGUAGGCGGCUCACUAAGUCAGUGUUAAAAUUUUGCGGCUCAACCGUAAGUCUGGCAUUGAUACUGGUAAGCUUGAGUAUAUGUGAGGUAGGCGGAAUUGAUAGUGUAGCGGUGAAAUGCAUAGAUAUUAUCAAGAACUCCGAUAGCGAAGGCAGCUUACUGAUGUAUAACUGACGCUGAGGCACGAAAGUGUGGGGAUCAAACAGGAUUAGAUACCCUGGUAGUCCACACUGUAAACGAUGAAGACUCGAUGUUGGAUAGUUAUAUUCAGCGUCUUAGCGAAAGCGUUAAGUCUUCCACCUGGGGAGUACGCCGGCAACGGU